rnacentral:lncRNA from 1 species
CUCUCUUCUCUUCCUCGCUCUCUCUCUUUCUCUCCCUCCUCUCCGCAUUGCAGCAAACGAUGCCAGCUCAGGACGAGGCUCCAGCGGCUGGCAUGUCCUCAGGCUCUGGCACACUCCCGCUGUCACCUCCCAUGGGACCUGUGUAUGUGUAACCAUGGUUGACAGAGGAAGAACAAUGAUUCCAAGCACCACCCUCCUUUUGAAGCUUCCAGUCUGUUAUUCGAACUCAAUCACCAUGACAGAGUGAUCUCCAGCCUUG